ACGAACGCUGGCGGCGUGCUUCACACCUGCCAGUCGAACGGAAAGGCCCUGCUUUUGUGGGGUGCUCGAGUGGCGAACGGGUGAGUAACACGUGAGUAACCUGCCCUUGACUUUGGGAUAACUUCAGGAAACUGGGGCUAAUACCGGAUAGGAGCUCCUGCUGCAUGGUGGGGGUUGGAAAGUUUCGGCGGUUGGGGAUGGACUCGCGGCUUAUCAGCUUGUUGGUGGGGUAGUGGCUUACCAAGGCUUUGACGGGUAGCCGGCCUGAGAGGGUGACCGGCCACAUUGGGACUGAGAUACGGCCCAGACUCCUACGGGAGGCAGCAGUGGAGAAUAUUGCACAAUGGGCGGAAGCCUGAUGCAGCAACGCCGCAUGCGGGAUGACGGCCUUCGGGUUGUAAACCGCUUUCGCCUGUGACGAAGCGUGAGUGACGGUAAUUGGUAAGGAAGCACCGGCUAACUACGUG
rnacentral:rRNA from 1 species